AGUAGGAGGAACUGAAGAAUAAGAAUCGCCGUGGAGAAGCUGUGAGGUCCGUCCACCCAACCAUCAAAAAAAAGAACAGACCUAAGCCCAAGAAUGAUAAGCCGAAAUCGAAAAUCACCAGAAAAGUGAAAAGGACCACGACUCACCGCGUUGCUGUUAAGAAGCCAAAGGGCAAGAAAAAGAAGAACUAGUGGAUUUCGUCCCGGAACGGCAAAAGGCCUGCCAAAGAACCAUCAGCGAUGAAGCAGUUUGGCCUUUUCGCCUGUUGUAUUUACGGUUUCCCGUUGGAAAAAUAAAGAAAACAAACUGAU